UGGUCCAGGUGUGUGGAUGGGUAGGGGAGCGUCGUGUAGCGGGUGAAGCGGCGGAGUGAUCCAGCCGUGGACGCUACACGAGUGAGAAUGCAGGCAUGAGUAGCGAAUGAAGGGUGAGAACCCCUUCCGCCGGAUGACCAAGGGUUCCAGGGCCAGGCUAAUCCGCCCUGGGUGAGUCGGGGCCUAAGGCGAGGCCGAGAGGCGUAGUCGAUGGAUAACGGGUUGAUAUUCCCGUACCCGCAAAAGAGCGCCCAAGACGAACCUUCAGUUACUAACUUUUCGAUCAAUUCAAUGGUUUCGGCCGGCGAUGCGGGAGACUAGGACCUAUUGGGGUAGUAGUUUAGCGAUGGGGUGACGCAGGAAGGUAGAUGAUCCCGGCCGGUGGUUGUGCCGGGGUAAGCGUGUAGGCCGUACCGUAGGCAAAUCCGCGGUGCAUUAAGGUUGAGACGUGAUGCCGAGCCGUUCUGGUGAAGUCAUUGAUCCUAUGCUGCCGAGAAAAGCCUCUAGCGAGCUUUGAGCGGCCCGUACCCUAAACCGACACAGGUGGUCAGGUAGAGAAUACCAAGGCGACGGGUGAACUGUGGUUAAGGAACUCGGCAAAUUGCCCCCGUAACUUAGGGAGAAGGGGGGCCGGACGCGUGAAGCCACUUGCUGGUGGAGCGUGGUAUGGCCGCAGAGAGCAGGGGGAAGCGACUGUUUACUAAAAACACAGGUCCAUGCCAAGUCGUAAGACGAUGUAUAUGGACUGACGCCUGCCCGGUGCUGGAACGUUAAGGGGACCUGUUAGCUCUUCGGGGCGAGGCGGAGAACUUAAGCGCCAGUAAACGGCGGUGGUAACUAUAACCAUCCUAAGGUAGCGAAAUUCCUUGUCGGGUAAGUUCCGACCUGCACGAAUGGCGUAACGACUUCCCCACUGUCUCAACCACAGGCCCGGCGAAAUUGCAGUACGAGUAAAGAUGCUCGUUACGCGCGGCAGGACGGAAAGACCCCGGGACCUUUACUAUAGCUUGACAUUGGUAUCUGAAUUCGAUUGUGUAGGAUAGGUGGGAGACUGUGAAGCUCGGACGCCAGUUCGGGUGGAGUCGUUGUUGAAAUACCACUCUGUUGGGUUUGGGUAUCUAACUUGCGGCCCUGAUCGGGUCGAGGGACAGUGUCUGGUGGGUAGUUUAACUGGGGCGGUUGCCUCCUAAAGGGUAACGGAGGCGCCCAAAGGUUCCCUCAGCCUGGUUGGCAAUCAGGUGUUGAGUGUAAGUGCACAAGGGAGCUUGACUGUGAGACUGACGGGUCGAGCAGGGACGAAAGUCGGGACUAGUGAUCCGGCACUUGCGUGUGGAAGCGGUGUCGCUCAACGGAUAAAAGGUACCCCGGGGAUAACAGGCUGAUCUUCCCCAAGAGUCCAUAUCGACGGGAUGGUUUGGCACCUCGAUGUCGGCUCGUCGCAUCCUGGGGCUGUAGCAGGUCCCAAGGGUUGGGCUGUUCGCCCAUUAAAGCGGUACGCGAGCUGGGUUUAGAACGUCGUGAGACAGUUCGGUCCCUAUCCGCCGUGCGCGUUGGAUACUUGAGAAGGGCUGUCCCUAGUACGAGAGGACCGGGACGGACGAACCUCUGGUGUGCCAGUUGUUCCGCCAGGAGCAUGGCUGGUUGGCUACGUUCGGAAGGGAUAACCGCUGAAAGCAUCUAAGCGGGAAGCCUGCUUCGAGAUGAGGUAUCCCACCACCUUUGAGUGGGUAAGGCCCCCAGCUAGAUUACUGGGUUGAUAGGCCGGAGAUGUAAGCACGGUAACGUGUUGAGUUGACCGGUACUAAUAGGCCGAGGGCUUAACCAC
rnacentral:ncRNA from 1 species